rnacentral:rRNA from 1 species
GACGUAGGGCGCGAGCGUUGUCCGGAUUUAUUGGGCGUAAAGAGCUCGUAGGCGGCUUGUCGCGUCGUUCGUGAAAACCUGCGGCUCAACUGCAGGCUUGCGGUCGAUACGGGCAGGCUGGAGUUCGGUAGGGGAGACUGGAAUUCCUGGUGUAGCGGUGAAAUGCGCAGAUAUCAGGAGGAACACCGGUGGCGAAGGCGGCCCCCUGGGCCGGCCCUGACACUGAGACGCGAAGGCGUGGGGAGCGAACGGG